CCCCACCUGAACAUCCUCCUGGGAGGAAGCAGGGCAUGGAUCCGAAGGGAUUAGUGAAGUCCUUCCCUAACCAUCCUUGAUGGCGGAGUCGGGGUGUGUCUCAGCAAAAAGGGCUGAAGUACAAGGUGCUGGGACCAGUUGUCGGCAAAGGGAGUGUGAUUCACUGAGUUAAUUACAUCAGGAUGGAGAAGAGAAGCAAAAAGCCCAAGCCAGUGACCCCAGGAUGAAGAAAGGUAGCUAGAUGGAGGAUGGUUCUCCCCAUUCCACAGAUGAUGAACUUGAAACCAGCAAGAGUGAGUGAGUUUAAGGUCAUAUAACUAUGUAGGGUCAGGGCUCGAGUGUAAAUCUCCUCAUUCUAGCUGUAACUCUUUCCAUUACAAUUUGCUAGUAUUCAAAUGAUAUGUAAAAAAUAAGCAAAUAAUGAAACACAGCAUUUUGCAAGACAUAAGGGUAAGAUUGUAACCACAUCUCUGUGAUUCUCCUGGAGACUUUGGCAUUUGCCCUUGGCUACCUCCUGUCUCACUCUUUUGGCCCUGAUUGGGCACUGGUAAAAAGGUGUCUGUGAGUAUCUACCACACCUGCCUCCCCCAAUACACAGACUGGCAUUCUUUCUAUGGCCACAGUCCUAAGGGUAAUUAAGAUUGUGGAGUAACAGGAAAUAUUUUAUUCAGUAAGAUUAUACUCAUUUGCUUAUUCAGUUGCUGAACUAUCUUCCAGGAAUACAUCAGAAGGUUUUACCAUUCUAUUUGCCUGCCUUAGUUGGGAGAUCUGAAGGAAAUGAGUUUAAUUCACCCUUCACAUUUCUAAUUAAAACUUUUUACAUUUCAAGCUUUUUGACAGGAAAAUAAAAAGAAAAAUUGUGUGGAAGGCAGCUUCAAGAACACAUAAUCCAUGUGUGAUUGUUUGAGAGCAAGAAGGGUUAAAAAAGGCAACAACAAAAAACCUGCUCAUUUUUGCUGCUUGCUCAAGAAAAAAACAACUCAAGCCAUCUCCAAAUGUAGUUUAAUCCAUUUUCAGACUCUAUACAUUAUGCAUCAAGAUUUUGUACAAAAGGAAUUUGAGAGGAGCGUUUGCAUGAAACCACUUCAGUGGAUUAAAUUUGCAGUUCAGCACAUUAGACUCAAAAAGUAUACAAGACAUUUUGAGAGUCCUGUCUCCUUCCUUUAUAUGCAUAGUUCCUACUUCAGGUAAAUAAGUUUUUAAGAAUGAGUGGAUUCCAGCAGCUGUCUUUAAGGAAAAAAUUAAGAAAGGCUUUGGUCUACCUUCCACUUAGCUUCCCAAUGACUGCAAAUGUUUGAAGAACAGAAAGCCUAGUUGAGAAGGUGGAUCUAAGCUGUUCUGUGGAUCUCGAAAUUCUUUUAGGCAAAGCCGCCCUAUCCAAGGUGGAAAAGCUAAUGUGAAAAGACAUUCUCAAUAGAAGGAGUUCACACAGCGACGUCAUAACUGCAAACCCCACACACCUUCAGUUCAGAGUUGAGAUGCCACUUGCGUAGACCACCUGGAUGGGAAGCUCAGUCAGUCAUCCAGAUGUCUUCAUCUAGUGGAGGCCAAAUAUCACUGAGACCACAUCUGGAUGUUUAGUGGGCCAAUGACAUUUUUAUUUCCUGCUGUUUAAAUAAUGGAUUUGGGAGAUCUUGGGAACAUAGUCUCUAUUUCCUCUUACCCCAGAGUUGCUCUGCUGCAGGAGCACACUUUAUGGCAAUCGGGUCAAAUCAGGAGCAGCCAGAGAGCCACUGGUUUCUGGGCUGUUAAUGAUGGGAGGUCCUAAACUGACAAGCGGAGUCUGACGUCUAAACGUCAUGACUGUUAUAAACCAGGAGGUGUCCAAACAGCCUAUGGAGCACCUGAAAGUUUCUAUAAUAACUUGUAUUUUUUUUUUUCAAGUGUUGAAAAGUUCCUAGCAGUGUGGCUGGUUGCCUGGGUUACAGUGUUGUGUUGACAGCUCUGGUCCUUUUCCUGGCAGCUGAGGAUCUGCACAGUGACCAAUGAGAGGGGAGCAUUCUGCUCUGAACUUUCCAUUAGGCUGAUGAUUCACUUUGAAAUCCACACUUUAUGAAUGCUGUGAAUUCAAUGUAAUGUAGCUGUUGAGGUGUCUACAUUCGAAUAGGAUUCCAUUAACUUUAUGGUGUGAUUAAGUGUCUGAAUCAUCAGGACUUGGGAUUGAAUUUAUGUGCUUCUGAGAGCCCUUUUGUAGACUGGCAGUUUUGAUGAGUGUAAUUUGAUGUGUGGGAUUGGGAGAACAAACCUAGUUGAUACCUAAAGAGAUAUCACCUCAAAUAUAACAAGGAUCUGAGAAGCCAAAUUUGAGCAUUGAGGUGGGUGGUCACUCUCAGAUGUGCAUAGAGGAGCUACUCUUCAGCAUGCAUAUUUUUUUCUUUAAAGAACUUGAUUUUUGGUGUUAGGAGGGACUUAAAGGUCUGCCGUUAUAUUGGCUUUCAAAUUUUAAAGUACUUAACUAUUAAUUAGGGUGCUUCUUAAAAAAAUGCCAGUUUCCAGAUCCUGCCUUCUGAUUCUGAGGGGCUGGAAUGGGAUGUAGGAAUGGAAUUAUAGACCUCCCUGGGAGGAAUGCUGACUUAGUUGUUUUGCAUUUGGAGGGGUGACAGGCCUCAUCCAUGGCCUUCCUCACAGCUAGUGGUAAGAGAGUCAAGCGCAGAACUGGAUCUCUACAUGUUUCCUCAAGGGUCGUUCAUCAUGUACUUAGUUCAUGCUCAUGCGAACUGACAUUUAUGACAUGGAAAUUAUUGGUAGUAUGAAAGUCACAUGUGCCAUAUUAGAAAGGAAAAGAACAUGGAGUGGCAGAGAGAGUGGCAUGUUGCAGUUUAGCAAAAAUCAGUUCUGAAAUCUCAUUUGAAAAUUUAAAGUUCUCCCUAACACAUAGGGGUUAAAUGGGAGAUGCACAAUGCUUCACAUAUUUGAGUCAAUUUUAGGCAGUUGCUAAGAUAGCAGUGUACAAAAUAUUUUUACUUUUGCAUUUCCCUUUAUAGAUUUCUUUGGACUUAAAUACACUGAAAUUUUAAUUUAAAUUCUCCAUGUAUUUAAAUUCCAGAAUUGAUGAAAUUAAACACUUUUUCAUUGUUGCUAACAAUUUGUAUUUAUUCUUUAAUUCUUUGUGAAUCAUUUUUCAGAUCCUUUGUGAACUUCUCUACUGAGUUGCUGGCUUUUUUUGGUAUUGUUUUUAAAGAGCUGUUUUUUUUUUUAAAGUUAUUAACUCCAUAUCUGUCAUACAAUUUCCUGAAAGUGUUUUUCUGUUUUUUUGUUUAUUUAUGGUUAAUUUUCUUUUAUAUGGGGCAGUUUAAA